rnacentral:rRNA from 1 species
AAUGAACGCUGGCGGCGUGCUUAACACAUGCAAGUCGAGCGGUAAGGCCCUUUCGGGGGUACACGAGCGGCGAACGGGUGAGUAACACGUGGGUGACCUGCCCUCAGCUCUGGGAUAAGCCUGGGAAACCGGGUCUAAUACUGGAUAUGACUCCAUGACGCAUGUUGUGGGGUGGAAAGCCUUGUGCGGCUGAGGAUGGGCCCGCGGCCUAUCAGCUUGUUGGUGGGGUGAUGGCCUACCAAGGCGACGACGGGUAGCCGGCCUGAGAGGGCGACCGGCCACACUGGGACUGAGACACGGCCCAGACUCCUACGGGAGGCAGCAGUGGGGAAUCUUGCGCAAUGGGCGAAAGCCUGACGCAGCGACGCCGCGUGAGGGAUGACGGCCUCGGUGUAAC